rnacentral:rRNA from 1 species
UGAGGAACAUGACCUUCGGCGGGGGAUAGCCGGCCCAACGGCCGGGUAAUACCGCGUACGACCACAUGGGGACAUCCCUGAGUGGUGAAAGCAGCAAUGCGCCGAUGGAGUGCCUCGCGGCCUAUCAGCUAGUUGGUGAGGUAACGGCUCACCAAGGCAACGACGGGUAGCUGGUCUGAGGAGGAUGGCCAGCCACAUCGGGACUGAGACACGGCCCAGACCUGUACGGGAGG